rnacentral:rRNA from 1 species
AGAGCGAACGCUGGCGGCAGGCCUAAUACAUGCAAGUCGAACGGACCCUUCGGGGUUAGUGGCGGACGGGUGAGUAACACGUGGGAACGUGCCCUUUGGUUCGGAACAACUCAGGGAAACUUGAGCUAAUACCGAAUGUGCCCUUCGGGGGAAAGAUUUAUCGCCAUUGGAGCGGCCCGCGUCUGAUUAGCUAGUUGGUGAGGUAAAGGCUCACCAAGGCGACGAUCAGUAGCUGGUCUGAGAGGAUGAUCAGCCACACUGGGACUGAGACACGGCCCAGACUCCUACGGGAGGCAGCAGUAGGGAAUCUUGCGCAAUGGGCGAAAGCCUGACGCAGCCAUGCCGCGUGAAUGAUGAAGGUCUUAGGAUUGUAAAAUUCUUUCAGCGGGGACGAUAAUGACGGUACCCGCAGAAGACGCCCGGCUAACUUCGCGCCAGCAGCCGC